rnacentral:tRNA from 2 species
GCUGCUGUAGCUCAGUUGGUAGAGCACGUCCUUGGUAAGGACGGGGUCAUCGGUUCGAUCCCGAUCAGCAGCUCCA